CAUUAUUGAAAUCCUUAGGAUGUUGCUGGCCUUUCUUAGGCAUGUGCACUCCGCCUUUUCAUCUCACCUGUGAACUCAUUGUAGGCCAGAUGUAACAAUCUGUGUCUAUGUUAUUUUUACACACACAAGUUUACUAGAAUGUCUGUUAAAUAUUAUGACCUUUGUUGGUCAAAAUUUAAUACAACUUUCAACAAUGGAUCUCUUGGUUCUCGCAUCGAUGAAGAACGCAGCGAAUUGCGAUAUGUAAUGUGAAUUGCAGAAUUCAGUGAAUCAUCGAAUCUUUGAACGCACCUUGCGCCCUUUGGUAUUCCGAAGGGCAUGCCUGUUUGAGUGUCAUUAAAUUCUCAACUUUGAAAGAAUUAAAUUAAAUUCUUUUGAAGCUUGGACUAUGGAGGCUUGCCGGCAUAAAUAUGAUCAGCUCCUCUUAAAUGCAUUAGCAGAACCUUUUAAAGGACUAGCUUCAGUUUGAUAAUCCUAUCUAUGCUGUUGCUGUUGAUCUUUGUGUGUUCAGCUUCUAAUGGUCUUUUAGACUGUCUCUAUGAGGCAUACACUUUUUAAGCUUG
rnacentral:rRNA from 1 species